CGGGGUGCACCAGGCGCGAAAACUUUACAAUGCCGGCAACGGCGAUAAGGGGACCUCGAGUGCCAGGUUACAAAUCUGGCUGUCGAGAUGCCUAAAAAGCAUUUCAUAGCAAGGGCCGGGCAAGACCGGUGCCAGCCGCCGCGGUAACACCGGCGGCUCGAGUGGUAACCGUUAUUAUUGGGUCUAAAGGGUCUGUAGCCGGCCGGAUAAGUCUCUUGGGAAAUCCAGCAGCUCAACUGUUGGGCUUUCAGGAGAUACUGUCUGGCUCGAGGCCGGGAGAGGUGAGAGGUACUUCAGGGGUAGGGGUGAAAUCUUGUAAUCCUUGAAGGACCACCAGUGGCGAAGGCGUCUCACCAGAACGGACCUGACGGCAAGGGACGGAAGCUAGGGGCACGAACCGGAUUAGAUACCCGGGUAGUCCUAGCCGUAAACGAUACUCGCUAGGUGUCGGCCACGGUGCGACCGUUGUCGGUGCCGUAGGGAAGCCGUGAAGCGAGCCACCUGGGAAGUACGGCCGCAAGGCUGAAACUUAAAGGAAUUGGCGGGGGAGCACAAGG
rnacentral:rRNA from 1 species